rnacentral:rRNA from 1 species
UACGGAGGAUGCAAGCGUUAUCCGGAUUCAUUGGGUUUAAAGGGUGCGUAGGCGGGCUAUUAAGUCAGUGGUGAAAUCCUGCAGCUUAACUGCAGAACUGCCGUUGAUACUGAUAGUCUUGAGUUUGGUUAAGGUAGGCGGAAUGUGUAAUGUAGCGGUGAAAUGCUUAGAUAUUACACAGAACACCAAUUGCGUAGGCAGCACACUAAGUCAUUAUUGACGCUGAGGCACGAAAGUGUGGGGAGUCAAACAGGAUUA